rnacentral:rRNA from 1 species
GAACAAGUGUUUAAGGGCACAUGGUGGAUGUCUAGGCAUCAGGAGCCGAUGAAGGACGUGGGAGGCCGCGAUAGGCCUCGGGGAGCUGUCAACCGAGCUGUGAUCCGAGGAUGUCCGAAUGGGGAAACCCAGCACCCGUCAUGGGGUGUUACCAACAUCUGAAUACAUAGGGUGUUGGAGGGAACGUGGGGAAGUGAAACAUCUCAGUACCCACAGGAAGAGAAAACAACCGUGAUUCCGUGAGUAGUGGCGAGCGAAAGCGGAAGAGGCUAAACCUAUGUCGUGUCAAGCCGGCAGGCGUUGCGAUGUGGGUGUUGUGGGAUUUCGUCGUAGGUGGACUGCCGUCUGCCUGACUUCGUGGUGUUGUGUUAGCGGAAAACCUCUGGAAAGGGUUGCCGUAGUGGGUGAGAGCCCCGUACGCGAAAACAUGGCAUGCGUUGUGGAUGUUGCUCCCGAGUAGCAGCGAGCUCGUGGAAUUUGCUGUGAAUCUGCCGGGACCACCCGGUAAGCCUAAAUACUCCCUGAUGACCGAUAGCGGACUAGUACCGUGAGGGAAAGAUGAAAAGUACCCCGGGAGGGGAGUGAAAUAGUACCUGAAACCGUGUGCCUACAAGCCGUCAGAGCCUUUGGGUGAUGGCGUGCCUUUUGAAGAAUGAGCCUGCGAGUUAUGCUUCGUGGCGAGGUUAACCCGUGUGGGGUAGCCGUAGCGAAAGCGAGUCUGAAUAGGGCGAUUGAGUCGCGGGGUGUAGACCCGAAGCGGAGUGAUCUACCCAUGGCCAGGUUGAAGCGACGGUAAGACGUCGUGGAGGACCGAACCCACCUCGGUUGAAAACGGGGGGGAUGAGCUGUGGGUAGGGGUGAAAGGCCAAUCAAACUCCGUGAUAGCUGGUUCUCCCCGAAAUGCAUUUAGGUGCAGCGUCGCGUGGUGGAUGCCGGAGGUAGAGCACUGGAUGGGCUAGGGGGACCAAAAUCUUACUGAACUCAACCAAACUCCGAAUGCCGGUAUUUCUAGCGCGGCAGUGAGACUGUGGGGGAUAAGCUUCAUAGUCGAGAGGGAAACAGCCCAGAUCACCGGCUAAGGCCCCUAAGCGUGCGCUAAGUGGGAAAGGAUGUGGGAUCGCCCAGACAACCAGGAGGUUGGCUUAGAAGCAGCCACCCUUUAAAGAGUGCGUAAUAGCUCACUGGUCAAGUGGUCCUGCGCCGACAAUGUAGCGGGGCUCAAGCGCACCGCCGAAGCCGUGGCAAUACCACAUGAGAUCCGCUCCUGCAGCUUGCUGUGGGUGUGUAGUCGUGGUGUUGGGUAGGGGAGCGUCGUGCAUCCAGUGAAGCGGCGGGGUGACCCAGUCGUGGAGGGUGUGCGAGUGAGAAUGCAGGCAUGAGUAGCGAAUGCAGAGUGAGAACCUCUGCCGCCGAAUGACCAAGGGUUCCUGGGCCAGGUUAAUCCGCCCAGGGUGAGCCGGGACCUAAGGCGAGGCCGACAGGCGUAGUCGAUGGACAACGGGUUGAUAUUCCCGUGCCCGUGAUAGUGCGUCCGUGCUGAGGCCGGUGAUGCUAACCAUCCGAACCCGUUUACUGACCUUCGGGUUGGUUUGUCGGGGGAGCGUGGGAACCGAUCCGGUAGUAGGCAAGCGAUGGGGUGACGCAGGAGGGUAGCUCCGCCAGUUAAUGGUAGUACUGGUGCAAGCGUGUAGCCCGACAUCCAGGUAAAUCCGGUUGUCAUAUAAGGGUGAGACGUGACGCGUAGCCGAUUGAGGCGAAGUAGAGUGAUCCCAUGCUGCCGAGAAAAGCCUCUAGCGAGUGCUGUUGCGGCCCGUACCCCAAACCGACACAGGUGGUCAGGUAGAGAAUACUAAGGCGAUCGAGUGAACUGUGGUUAAGGAACUCGGCAAAAUACCUCCGUAACUUCGGGAGAAGGAGGACCGCUUGCUGUGAAGCUCCUUGCGGGCUAGCGGUGGGCGGUCGCAGAGACCAGGCCCAAGCGACUGUUUACUAAAAACACAGGUCCGUGCGAAGUCGCAAGACGAUGUAUACGGACUGACGCCUGCCCGGUGCUGGAACGUUAAGAGGACCUGUUAGUCCUUCGGGGCGAAGCGGAGAAUUUAAGCGCCAGUAAACGGCGGUGGUAACUAUAACCAUCCUAAGGUAGCGAAAUUCCUUGUCGGGUAAGUUCCGACCUGCACGAAUGGCGUAACGACUUGGGCGCUGUCUCGACCACAGACUCGGCGAAAUUGCACUACGAGUAAAGAUGCUCGUUACGCGCGGCAGGACGGAAAGACCCCGGGACCUUUACUACAGCUUGGUAUUGGUGCUCGGUUCGGCUUGUGUAGGAUAGGUGGGAGACUGUGAAGCGGCCACGCCAGUGGUUGUGGAGUCAUUGUUGAAAUACCACUCUGGUCGAAUUGGGUGUCUCAACCUCGGGCCAUGAUCUGGUUCAGGGACAGUGCCUGGUGGGUAGUUUAACUGGGGCGGUUGCCUCCCAAAAUGUAACGGAGGCGCCCAAAGGUUCCCUCAGCCUGGUUGGCAAUCAGGUGUUGAGUGUAAGUGCACAAGGGAGCUUGACUGUGAGACCGACAGGUCGAGCAGGGACGAAAGUCGGGACUAGUGAUCCGGCACCACCUGGUGGAAGGGGUGUCGCUCAACGGAUAAAAGGUACCCCGGGGAUAACAGGCUGAUCUUGCCCAAGAGUCCAUAUCGACGGCAUGGUUUGGCACCUCGAUGUCGGCUCGUCGCAUCCUGGGGCUGGAGUAGGUCCCAAGGGUUGGGCUGUUCGCCCAUUAAAGCGGUACGCGAGCUGGGUUUAGAACGUCGUGAGACAGUUCGGUCCCUAUCCGCCGCGCGCGCAGGAGACUUGAGGAAGGCUGUCCCUAGUACGAGAGGACCGGGACGGACGGACCUCUGGUGUGCCAGUUGUCCCGCCAGGGGCACGGCUGGUUGGCUAUGUUCGGAAGGGAUAACCGCUGAAGGCAUCUAAGCGGGAAGCUCGUUCCAAGAUGAGGUCUCCCACCACCUUGCGUGGUUAAGGCCCCCAGCAGACCACUGGGUUGAUAGGCCAGAGAUGGAAGCCCUGUAAAGGGUGGAGUUGACUGGUACUAAUAGGCCGAGGGCUUGUUCAU